rnacentral:rRNA from 1 species
GACGAACGUUGGCGGCGUGCUUAGCACAUGCAAGUCGAACGGAAAGGCCCUGCUUUUGUGGGGUGCUCGAGUGGCGAACGGGUGAGUAACACGUGAGUAACCUGCCCUUGACUUUGGGAUAACUUCAGGAAACUGGGGCUAAUACCGGAUAGGAGCUCCUGCUGCAUGGUGGGGGUUGGAAAGUUUCGGCGGUUGGGGAUGGACUCGCGGCUUAUCAGCUUGUUGGUGGGGUAGUGGCUUACCAAGGCUUUGACGGGUAGCCGGCCUGAGAGGGUGACCGGCCACAUUGGGACUGAGAUACGGCCCAGACUCCUACGGGAGGCAGCAGUGGGGAAUAUUGCACAAUGGGCGGAAGCCUGAUGCAGCAACGCCGCGUGCGGGAUGACGGCCUUCGGGUUGUAAACCGCUUUCGCCUGUGACGAAGCGUGAGUGACGGUAAUGGGUAAAGAAGCACCGGCUAACUACGUGCCAGCAGCCGCGGUGAUACGUAGGGUGCGAGCGUUGUCCGGAUUUAUUGGGCGUAAAGGGCUCGUAGGUGGUUGAUCGCGUCGGAAGUGUAAUCUUGGGGCUUAACCCUGAGCGUGCUUUCGAUACGGGUUGACUUGAGGAAGGUAGGGGAGAAUGGAAUUCCUGGUGGAGCGGUGGAAUGCGCAGAUAUCAGGAGGAACACCAGUGGCGAAGGCGGUUCUCUGGGCCUUUCCUGACGCUGAGGAGCGAAAGCGUGGGGAGCGAACAGGCUUAGAUACCCUGGUAGUCCACGCUGUAAACGGUGGGUACUAGGUGUGGGGUCCAUUCCACGGGUUCCGUGCCGUAGCUAACGCUUUAAGUACCCCGCCUGGGGAGUACGGCCGCAAGGCUAAAACUCAAAGGAAUUGACGGGGCCCCGCACAAGCGGCGGAGCAUGCGGAUUAAUUCGAUGCAACGCGUAGAACCUUACCUGGGUUUGACAUGGAUCGGGAGUGCUCAGAGAUGGGUGUGCCUCUUUUGGGGUCGGUUCACAGGUGGUGCAUGGCUGUCGUCAGCUCGUGUCGUGAGAUGUUGGGUUAAGUCCCGCAACGAGCGCAACCCUUGUUCACUGUUGCCAGCACGUUAUGGUGGGGACUCAGUGGAGACCGCCGGGGUCAACUCGGAGGAAGGUGGGGAUGACGUCAAGUCAUCAUGCCCCUUAUGUCCAGGGCUUCACGCAUGCUACAAUGGCUGGUACAGAGAGUGGCGAGCCUGUGAGGGUGAGCGAAUCUCGGAAAGCCGGUCUCAGUUCGGAUUGGGGUCUGCAACUCGACCUCAUGAAGUCGGAGUCGCUAGUAAUCGCAGAUCAGCAACGCUGCGGUGAAUACGUUCCCGGGGCU